UCAAUAAAUUUUUUUACAGACCGAAACUGUAGAUGACGUAUCAAAAACUGCUAUCGAAUAUCGUGAUGAAGCAAAUGACUAUUACGGAAAACACAACGAGUGUAUGCAAAAGGCACAGCGAGCAUUUCAGAGCAGGCAGUAUGCAGUCGCACAAUUCUAUUCCGACCUUGCAAAAUCAUAUACGCGACUAUACGAGCAAACAAAUGGUCUGGCAGCUACGGCGUUUCUUCAGGAACACUCCGAAAAAUUGCAGAACUUUCAAACUUUGGACCUUCACUACUUAUACGUGAAGGAGGCUCUUCCCGCUUUGGAUAUAUUCUUAGACCGAAACAUCAACUUGUUAAGAGGUACCAAUAAAAAGAAGGAAACAUUAUUCAUUAUUACUGGUAGAGGCAAAAGAAGUCCGGGAAAAUCUCGACUUAGACCUGCAGUAAUACAACAUUUGCGGAAACGUGAUAUUAAGUACUCACUUCUAAACCCAGGUCUACUAAACGUUAACAUACAUCCUCAUUCUGUUUUGACACACAAUUUGCAACAAUAAAGCCAAUCAUAUGGUCCCUAUAAUUGUUACCAGGUUAUUUUUUUGAAUUUUCAGUUUUUAAGAUAAGUAUAGUGAAAAAAAUUCGAACGUAUCUACUCUUAUUUUUAUUAUGAUUAGGUGGUUUUUGAAAUGUUACAUAAUGUAACAUUAAUUUCAUUAAAAGUAAUGACACUAUGGUUUUGGUAUUGAGCAGUACUCAAGUGUUCCAGUUAAUCAUACUGCUAUCAGUAUCAUUUCAAACAUUUAUCCGUAUAGGUAGUGGCUGACCUUUUAAAUUAAUCAAAUGGCUAAUUUGGUUGAUACCUAUUUUGGAUGGUUACAAGAAAAUAUUUUACCUUAUGUCAGUGGUGCUCUACACUUUACACUUUGAUCUUAGAAUCAGUACUUCCAGCAACUUUUAUUUAUCUUUCUUUUUAUUGUAAUUUUUUAUAGCUUGGUGCUCGACUUGGUCUUGUAAACAAAUGAAAUUUGGAAUCUGAUAAAUAUGCCAAUAUCACGAGUGUGUUUGAUCCCAAACAGUGUGUCAUGGGAUUUUUCCAAUAAUUCAAUGUCAAACUUUUUCCUUAUUUCUAUCUCUUUGACUAUGUAUAUGUUACUUGAAAAACGGAACUUUGUGAUGUCACAACAUACUACUACCAAUUUAUUGGAUAAUGAAUAUACAGAGUGGUGAAUCUAAGUCAAUCCAACUUUUAUAAUUGAGGAAUAGAAUGAAACAUACGAGCACCACGGGGGACAUAGUUGAUCGUGAUUUUCAUUUGUUUUCACGUUGCUGACACUGUACACCAUACCUGAUCUUAAAAUCUGAAUAGCAUUAUACCCCACGUGACACAUUAAACAGGAACUCUUGAAAAUUCUUGUUCGUCUGUGUAAAUGAAUGUUUUCAAGACAAAAAAAAAUUGUUUUACCUAGCACUACAAGUUGUACUACAAUUCUCAACAAAUCUGAAGAAAAAUGAUCAUUCAUUGGAUACUUACUUGUUUUCAACCAGUUGCUUCCUGGGAUGCAAUAAAAAUACAGGGCGAGAUAUAUCUUCUCGAUGGUUUGUGAUAAUUUAACAUGAACUGAAUAUUUUAUGUGUGUACUGAAUUUUGUGUUAUCAAAUUAAUUAGAAAAGAGUCUAUGGUUUGAUUUCCAUUUUCAAUUUUAUUGUUGGAGAGAUAUCGAUCAACUUGAUACUACACAAUACAUUAUGCAAAUGACAGCAUUCUAACUGUCUAUGACAAUUGCUGAAAAUUGUGAGCGAUUGAUCCACUUGUGUGGCUGUGGAGAUUCCAUUUGUUAAACCUUGUCAAGUGACUUGACUGAACUCAUAAUCACUAUUUUAUAAUCUGGUUUCCACGAAUUUGUUGGUCUUAUUCUUAUAUCCUUUAUAUCCACUUUUUUGCAUUUUUUGUCCAUGCCUUUGCACAAUACGACUUCAAAAAUUUAAAUUGCUGAUUAAUUAUUAUUUAUUAAUUAAUAAGUUAUGGUGCACUUAUACAGUUAUAAAAAUCGUUUGUACAUCUUGGAACUCUACUUGAACCUCUGGCCAUCUUUUUUGGUAAAUCUAUUGGCCAAAUUUGAUUUUUAUAAUGCAAAUUUUGUAAGCCUAGUGCUUUUUUAUGGAUAGAAUGAAACACUGUUUUUUAUCAGACAUUUUUGAUUGUUGCACAAAAGUCGUAUUUUGAUUUUCGAACUACAUACAAAUUUGGGGGUCUAUGAAUAGGUAUAUACAUAGUUAGGUACUUAAUAGACAGGACUUCUGCCAUUUAAUGUGGAAGCCAUUGAGAUAGAAGGUGAGUUAAAUUAAAAGAGAAUGUAUUUUUGAAGAGAACAAUGGGAGCAGUUUCAUCUUUACUAGAUAUUUGCAUGUAGGCACAUUUGAUGAAUGAAUGAAUUGAACUUCAAGGCUGCAAAAACAAAGAUAACGAUUUAGUAAUUUCUUUAGACAUGACAUGACAAUAUGCUUUUGCAGCGUAAAAUAACAGAAACUGCUAAUAUUUUUACAAAACCAUAACUUAUAAUAAAAUAACAAAAAACUGCCCUUGUUAUGAGAUGUGCAAUUGUUGUACAGAUAAAUUUCUGUAGCUUUUGUAACAGAAAAUGGCCCAUUUUAAUUUUUAAUUAAUAUCUUCUUCAGAAAAUAAAUGAUCAAACUGUGUUUUUAGGAAGUAAUAAAGGUGACGUGUUGUCUACCAUCUGUUUAAAAGAUAAGCUGAACAUGCGCCAAGUGUAGGUUUCAAAUAAAUUGCUGUUUUCCCCAUUACCUUUCAUUGUAACCAUCCAAGAUUUUUCUUUUGUGCGAUAAUAGUGCAGCCUGCUUGAAGAUUUGGGGGAUUCACUGGUCAGUUAUUAACUUGAACAAUAUUGCUCAAAGUAACUGGGUUGCAUCAACCAAAGAUGUUGUACACGUUUCUUAAAUUGUUUCCAUUAUUUUUUGUUAUGUUACUGUUGUGAGACCUACCAGUCUGCACUAGUUAUAUUUUACAUAUCAUAUUAUUGUUAUUUUCAUUAAAGGUUUUGAGUAAUCA